rnacentral:rRNA from 3 species
UAAGGUUGACCUCGGAUCAGGUAGGAAUACCCGCUGAACUUAA